UACGUAGGUGACAAGCGUUGUCCGGAUUUACUGGGCGUAAAGAGCGCGCAGGCGGUCGUUCAAGUCGAGUGUGAAAGCCCCCGGCUCAACUGGGGAGGGUCACUCGAUACUGAUCGACUUGAAGGCAGGAGAGGGAAGCGGAAUUCCCAGUGUAGAGGUGAAAUUCGUAGAUAUUGGGAAGAACACCGGUGGCGAAGGCGGCUCUCUGGACCGACACUGACGCUGAGGCGCGAAAGCGUGGGGAGCAAACAGG
rnacentral:rRNA from 1 species